AGUGAACGCUGGCGGUAGGCCUAACACAUGCAAGUCGAACGGCAGCACAGUAAGAGCUUGCUCUUACGGGUGGCGAGUGGCGGACGGGUGAGGAAUACAUCGGAAUCUACUUUUUCGUGGGGGAUAACGUAGGGAAACUUACGCUAAUACCGCAUACGACCUACGGGUGAAAGCAGGGGAUCUUCGGACCUUUCGCGAUUGAAUGAGCCGAUGUCGGAUUAGCUAGUUGGCGGGGUAAAGGCCCACCAAGGCGACGAUCCGUAGCUGGUCUGAGCGGAUGAUCAGCCACACUGGAACUGAGACACGGUCCAGACUCCGACGGGAGGCAGCAGUGGGGAAUAUUGGGCAAUGGGCGAAAGCCUGAUCCAGCCAUACCGCGUGGGUGAAGAAGGCCUUCGGGUUGUAAAGCCCUUUUGUUGGGAAAGAAAAGCAGCAGGUUAAUACCCCGCUGUUCUGACGGUACCCAAAGAAUAAGCACCGGCUAACUUCGUG
rnacentral:rRNA from 1 species